CAGGCUUUGGUUUUGGGGGAUCCUUNCGAAGAAUNCCCAGUGCCCCNAGNGAAAGNUNUUAAAGCCUGCCCNCUUGGGGGAGUUNCNUCCGCAAGGAUGAAACUUAAANGGAAUUGGCGGGAGAGCACAGCAACGGGAGGAGCGUGCGGUUCAAUUGGAUUCAACGCCGGAAAACUCGCCGGGAGNNNCGGUUACAUGAAGNCCAAGCCGAUGACUUUGCCUGAUUUUCCGAGAGGUGGUGCAUGGCCGUCGUCAGUUCGUACCGUAAGGCGUUCUGUUAAGUCAGAUAACGAACGAGACCCUCGCCCUUAAUUGCCAGUUUGUUCUCCGGAGCAAGCGCACGUUAAGGGGACCGCUGNCGCUAAGUCAGAGGAAGGAGAGGUCGACGGUAGGUCAGUAUGCCCCGAAUCUCCCGGGCUACACGCGUGCUACAAAGGACGGGACAAUGGGCUGCGACACCGAGAGGUGAAGCCAAUCCCGAAACCCGUUCGUAGUUCGGACUGAGGGCUGUAACUCGCNCUCACGAAGCUGGACUCCGUAGUAAUCNNGGAUUNACACUACCCGCGNGAAA
rnacentral:rRNA from 1 species